GGGUAGGUACGUGCAAGCAGGUGGUGGAAAAGGAGGGGGGGGAGGGUGGGCCGGAUGUACGGGGGUGAAAGGGAGCGUAGGCGGGAAACUAAGCGGAGCUUAAAAGUGCGGGGCGCAACCCCGUGAGUGGGUGCGAACUGGUUUGCUUGAGUGCAGGAGAGGAAAGCGGAAGUCCCAGUGUAGCGGUGAAAUGCGUAGAUAUUGGGAAGAACACCAGUGGCGAAGGCGGCUUUCUGGACUGUAACUGACGCUGAGGCUCGAAAGCUAGGGUAGCGAACGGGAUUAGAUACCCGUGUAGUC
rnacentral:rRNA from 1 species